GACGAACGCUGGCGGCGUGCUUAACACAUGCAAGUCGAACGGAAAGGCCCUGCUUUUGUGGGGUGCUCGAGUGGCGAACGGGUGAGUAACACGUGAGUAACCUGCCCUUGACUUUGGGAUAACUUCAGGAAACUGGGGCUAAUACCGGAUAGGAGCUCCUGUUGCAUGGUGGGGGUUGGAAAGUUUCGGCGGUUGGGGAUGGACUCGCGGCUUAUCAGCUUGUUGGUGGGGUAGUGGCUUACCAAGGCUUUGACGGGUAGCCGGCCUGAGAGGGUGACCGGCCACAUUGGGACUGAGAUACGGCCCAGACUCCUACGGGAGGCAGCAGUGGGGAAUAUUGCACAAUGGGCGGAAGCCUGAUGCAGCAACGCCGCGUGCGGGAUGACGGCCUUCGGGCUGUAAACCGCUUUCGCCUGUGACGAAGCGUGAGUGACGGUAAUGGGUAAAGAAGCACCGGCUAACUACGUG
rnacentral:rRNA from 1 species